UUAUUAAGAAAAGUUAUAUAGUACGAGAGGAACAAUAAGUGAUGACCUCUGGUGUAGCGAUUAAUUAUUCAAUUAUGUUGCAAAACUACGUCAUGAAUAAUAAAUGCUGAAAGCCUCUUAAGCAUGAAGUUAAUCUUAAUGAUAAACAAUUGAGGAAUACUACCUCUUUGAAGAGUGGGACUGUAAGAAUGAAGGUGUAUACCGACAUUUUGAGGUUACCAUUUCGUUCUG
rnacentral:ncRNA from 1 species